GACGAACGCUGGCGGCGUGCCUAAUACAUGCAAGUAGAACGCUGAAGAGAGGAGCUUGCUCUUCUUGGAUGAGUUGCGAACGGGUGAGUAACGCGUAGGUAACCUGCCUUGUAGCGGGGGAUAACUAUUGGAAACGAUAGCUAAUACCGCAUAACAAUGGAUGACACAUGUCAUUUAUUUGAAAGGGGCAAUUGCUCCACUACAAGAUGGACCUGCGUUGUAUUAGCUAGUAGGUGAGGUAAUGGCCCACCUAGGCGACGAUACAUAGCCGACCUGAGUGGGUGGUCGGCCAAACUGGGACUUGGGCAAGGCCCCGACUCCUUCGGGGAGGAGCAGGAGGGAAUCUUCGGCAAAGGGGGCAACCCUGACCGAACAACGCCGGGGGAGGGAAGAAGGUUUUCGGAUCGUAAAGCUCUGUUGUAAGUCAAGAACGGGUGUGAGAGUGGAAAGUUCACACUGUGACGGUAGCUAACCAGAAAGGGACGGCUAACUACGUG
rnacentral:rRNA from 1 species